UACAUGUGGGGCAAGCGUUGUUCGGAAUACUGGGCAUAAAGGGUGCGUAGGCGGCUCGGUAAGUCCGCUCUGAAAGUCCGGGGCUCAACCCCGGGAGGCGGGUGGAUACUGUCGAGCUAGAGUCCGGGAAGAGGCGAGUGGAAUUCCUGGUGUAGCGGUGAAAUGCGCAGAUAUCAGGAGGAACACCAAUGGCGAAGGCAGCUCGCUGGGACGGUACUGACGCUGAGACGCGAAAGCGUGGGGAGCAAACAGG
rnacentral:rRNA from 1 species